UACAGAGGGUGCAAGCGUUACUCGGAGUUACUGGGCGUAAAGGGCGCGUAGGCGGUUAUUUAAGUGAGAUGUGAAAUCCCUGAGCUUAACCUAGGAACGGCAUCUUAUACUGGGUAACUGGAGUACUGUAGAGGGUAGUGGAAUUUCCGGUGUAGCGGUGAAAUGCGUAGAGAUCAGGAGGAACACCGGUGGCGAAGGCGGCCGACUGGGCUGCCACUGACGCUGAGGCGCGAAAGCUCGGGGAGCGAACGGG
rnacentral:rRNA from 1 species